UAGAGAAGCGGUUAAACGGGUUGGGGCUCUUGGGCUGAGGGUAUUGGAGCGGUUUGGUUUUUUGUUUUUACAUUGUUUUUGUUAAGAUUUGCUUCUCUGGUUGAUAGCUUUUAGGGGUGCCCUCCUCUCCAACACUAGGACCUCUGGGAUUUUGAAGAUCACAGUCUUCCUUAUGUCGUCCCUCCCCACCCCCACCCCCUCCGCCCGCGGCUAGCAGAUUUUUCCAGAUCCUUCUCCAUCCUCAGGACUCCCAAGUCUGGGCCUGUCUGGUGGCCCGCCCUGUGCACCCAGGCCCACAGUGUAAUAGCUGGAGACAGCCAGAUGUGAAGUGGCAAAGGUCGGCCUCCCCUGACUGUGCGGCCGAUGCCUAUGGUCCCAGGCGUGGGCACUUGAGUAGUGUGGGAAGAGAGGUCCAGGGAGUGAAAGCGUGGGCCCAGGAGGGAACAGUUUAGCCCAGGUGCACAAAUUGGACACAACUUUGCCCUCUCUGCAGCCUGGCAGGCCCACCGCAUGAGUUGCUUUCUAAAAUACCAUGAGCAGAUAUGUAAGAGACAAAGACUUGUAAGUGGGGUGAAGGAACCUUUUCUUCUCAACCUGAUGCUCCUAAGAGAUGCUUGUGGAGUUCCGAGUCCGUGUGGCUAAAACCAUGAAGUUCUGAUUACUGAAACAGUGAUGGCUUGGUCUGCUGACUUGAUGGAAGAUCUGUCUGGAGAGGUCCUGACUGCCCAGCCGGAUAGUACCACAGUUAUACAUAGAGCCUGAAUGAUGGCACAGAAGAGAGAGGAACGUUGAAAACAAAAGAAAAGGAUUCUUCAGAGAAGAAACAGACAUGGAAACUAGAAAGUAUGGGACAGAUUUUCCCAGCAUGCAAACAAAAAUACUGCUAAAAAUGAUGAAAAAAAACUUAAAAAAAAAAAAAAAAACCAAAACAAAACCCAACGAAGUGAAAUGCAAGCAGGAGUCAGAUGGGAGGGCCAGCCUGUUGAGUGUUCUGCCCCCUGGUGUUGCAACACAACAGUGUUUUAUGUACUUUGCAGGUUGGAAGUCUUUCUUGCCUUUAGGUUUUCCAGUCAGCAUACAAAGUAGUGCUUUCGUAUGACCUUUAUUUAGAGGAACCACAUUUGUCUCGUCUUGUACCCUAUUCUCUCCUACUCCUCUCCCCAUUCUGUUUGUCCACUCUGUUUUCCCAAGAGGCCUCUCUCUCUCUGCUUCCACCUCCUAUACACACAUCUAUACAUUCGAUUCCACACGGGAGCAGAUGUAGGAUUUGUUCAAGUCUGGCUUAUUUUGCUUAGCAUAAUCUUUGGUUCCAUCCUUCUUUCUGUGUGGCUCAGUAGCAUUUCACUGUGCAUAUAUACCCAUUUUAAAACUCGCUGCACUCUUCGGCCUCUCCACAAUCAGUGGUUGUAAAGCAUGCAGCAGUGGGGCGGAAGCCCCAUGGCCACUUCAUUAAAUUCAGCCCUAGGUCUUUGUUUGCUGUUGCUUUAAAUGUCUCCAAAGAUCUUCUGUUUACUGCUGGUGCAUAAAAUGCAUUUUACGAGUUGGAGAAAUGUUUCAGCCAUUAGGCUCACAACCAAAACAUCAAAAUGCAUUUUACUUGCUAUUUUCAUAACAAGACUUCCUGUGUAACUCUUACUACUAUUUUUAUGUUUUGGAAGUGAGGUCUCAUCAUGUAUCCCACAGUGGCCUCAGACUUGAAGUCCUUGUGCCUCUGGCUUUCCAGAUGUUUGGAUUAAAGGCCUGUGCUACCAAGCAUGGCUUUUUUUUUUUUUUUUUUUAACCAUUUCCCACUGGGCAGUUCAGUGGCCUUUAAAUCUAAUGUAACGUUGUGCAACCACACAAUGUUGUUUUUUUUGUUUGUUUUUAUUGUUUGUUUUUGUUACAGUCUCCUAUAGCCUAGGCUGGCCUUGACUUCUCUGUGGCCCAGGGUGACCUUGAACUUCUGAUUCCCCUGCUUCUACCCCCCAGCUUCUGGGAGUGCGUACCAUCCUAGUUGGCUUCUUCUUGUUUUGCCAUAGGGUCUUGUUGAUCUCAAACUCAUACCCCCCACCUGCACCCCUAAUGCUGGUAUUCGAAGCACCCAUUGCCACAAUUCUUGUUCUAAGCAACAGGUUUGUGGUAAUUUGUUGUACCUGUUGUAUGUCCAAUACUCAGUGUUCAGCAAAGGAUGUGGACUGAGUCAUUGUGACUCUCAGUCCGUGUUGUUUAGUUCUACCAUAUUGUUUGCUGCGGAAGGGAGCUGGGUAUUGUAAGUGCUGGGACAGAAGGAGAAAGCCACCCCAGGAUGUACCUGAGUAUCUGUGGAGGAGGGGUAGAUGAAUCCGGUCCUGUAAGAGUUGAAGAUGUGAGAAUCCUGAAGUGGAGGCUGCUGGAUUCUGGGAACCAAGAAACUGGCCUCCGAGACACUUAAGUUGUAUCGUGUGGCUGGAUGGGGAAGAAAGGAACACUGAGGAAGAUCCUCCACCUCCUUCAGCUCCUUCUCCUCAGUUGUAGUGGGCAAGCAAAUGGUCCCACCUAGUUCCAUGAGCCAUGAUGAUUCUGUCAGCAAGGGAGUGGGAGUCUGGGAGGCCAAGGCCGCCUUCUCCUUGGACUCUUUGGUUCAUUUGAUUGCUUGGUGUAUUCACCUCCUACCCCUAAUGCUGGCUCGAGGAUAUUAUUGGAAGAUGUCGUGGGUAAGCAUGUUACUUAGUCUUAUCAAUAUUUUACCUUGUGCUGUACCCUGAAAAGACAGGGGCCUAGUUAGAGUGAGAUUGGGAUCAGGACUGUAGCACCAGGAUUCCAGAAUUCACUGUUGUGUGGAACCUAGGGCAGUAUACAGUUGUCCUCUGUAUCACCCCUGUCCUGAUGGCACAUUACUCAUGUGGGAUCAUGGUCUGGGUGGUUACCCAUGUCCCUUUGCUUCAGAAUCUCUGAGGCUUCAGGACCAGGACUCCAGGAUGCUUCCAGACCAGUGGUGACUUUCCUGUUUUCUUUCCUUCUAUCUUCCUUUGGGAAGCUCAAAAUCAAAAAGUCUUUGAGGACUACUUUCCUGAUCACUCUUCGAGACCAAGACUUUUUUUCUUUGCUGCCUAUGUCUGGUGUUCAGUGACUGUCAUAACAUUUCAGUUUAUCAUGGGACCUGGUCUCACAUGUUCCUCAGUUGUCUCAGUUAUGGGUGGGGUGCAUGUCUUGCUUUUUUUUUUUUUUCCUUUUUCUUUUUUUCAGAGCUGGGGACCGAACCCAGGGCCUUGCGUUUGCUAGGCAAGCACUCUACCACUGAGCUAAAUCCCCAACCCCAUGUCUUGCUUUUGAAUAAGAUUACCAACUUCCGGGCUCAAAUGGGAGAUGCCUGGGGCUUUGGACAGUUAGAAUCUGCUGCAGUGUGGAACAGGCAUUCAGUGUGUAAUGGAUCCAUCUGCAAGUGCCCCUCUGCUCCUCACUUGUUCUCCCUUCAUUUGUCUGAUCACUUAGCAAACACCUGUUUACUGAACUCCUGUGUGAGCUGUUGAAUAUUCGAAGACGGUGGCUGAUGGUCUCUCUGUCUCGGUUGUCUUGAGCAUCUAGUUAUUCAGGAGCUUUUUCUGCCUCUUUGCACUUCCUGUGAGUUUGGUUUCAAAUCAAACUCACUAGGCUGAGAUACCUAUUAACAUAUCAAAGCAGACACUGGCUGCCAGGUUCUCCCAGCAUCCCUCAGUCCCUAUCUGUUUGAGGUCCUCCUGGCUAGCAUACCCCACCCCCUACCCUAGUCUGGGCAUCCCGCCUCCAGCUCAACAGUCUUGCCCCUGUAUAAAUCACCAAAUUUGGUUACACCCAGCUCUUGACCCCGGCUGCCCCUCUUGGUCUGGCUCCUCUCUUGUCCUCCUUCCCCCUCCCAUGGCCCGGCUCAGUCUAGCUUCACUCUAGACUCUCCAAGAUGUCUCCAUCUCUACCUGUUUUCUCCCUUAUAUCUAUAAUAAAAAUUUCAGCCCCUUAGGAGCAGUCAUGUUCUCCUUUUAUUUCUUUUUCUCAUUCAGUUCACAGACGUGCAUCCAAUCCCAAGCUUCUCCCUACUCCAUUGUCUAUGUUAGGUGUUAGGCAAACUUCCAGACAAUUAGACCUGCCCUAGAAGCUGAGGUAGUGCUUCUCCUUACCAGAAGGGGGCAUGUGAGAUCACAUGACUUGGUGAAGCUGGGAGAUUCUAAUUGGAAUCUGGAUUUCGGUCAAAGAUUGAAAACCCAGAAGACUAAGGACUCCCUAUCUUACCAAAGGGGUCUAAGUUAAAAUAAAAAGUUGUUAGUGGUAAAGGUCGGGGUCUUAAUGUAUAAGCAGAAAUCACAGUGGACAGUGACUGCCUUUCUUGUUAAAACAGUAGAGGCAGUAACAGUGACAACAGGGUACAGUGAGGAACAAGGUAAUCCCAAGUCUGCUCUUUUGUGGGACAGGGUCUCCAACAACUGCUGACAUCUUAGACACAGGAACAGUGACAAAACUGGGCUACCAACCACUCAGGCAACUUGUCUCCAACAGCUGCCAGAUAACUAUACCACCAGCCAAGGGAGAGCCCAAACAUUGCAAAUGUCUCUCAGACCUCUCCACAGCUGCUGUUCCUAGUCCAAAGGUAGACCGUGUGCAGGCUGAUAGGUAGAGACAAGGAAGAUGGGUAAUCCUUGAGUCCAGAAGGGCAAAGAGAUGCUCUCUGUUUUCACCUAAUUUUUGAGUUAGUUGCUUAGUGUGAUAGGUUUCCUCUUUCAAAUUUGUUUUAAAAAUAUAUUCAAUGAUUUGUUUUCAAAAGGACAAAACCAAAAAAAAAAAAAAAGUCAGUCUUUCUCUUGCCAUUCCCCGUAUUUGUUGUCUCUAAAUCUUUUUGGAAAGCUUAAAUUCAGGUGCAGUAUAAACUGACUUGGGUUUGUAGCUCCUUAAGUCGAGAAUCAUCUGUGGUAAUCACAGCCUAGUCCUUAACAGUAACGUGACUACAGCAUGCUUUUGUUGUAUGAAAGCCUUUAUAAGUACAGAAAGAAAUCUCCUGUAGUCUGUGGUCAGUUAGUUUAGAUGGCAUUGUUUCCUUGAACCUGGGGGCAGGGAGUGGGGAGACAGACAGCAGCUGUUGAAUCUGUCAACAUCAUCUGCUAAGAGCAGAGAAUGUGAAUGUCUGCACUGGGAUGAAAGGCUGUUUGUGUGAGGGGACGGUAAGUCUAUCAAAGUAUGAGCAUACCUAGUUCGUCCUGUAGGAAGAAAAUGUCUUCUUUAUCCUCUGUGUUGCAAUAAUCAGACCUAGCAUUUUGUCUGGGAUGAUAAUGUGUAUGAUGCUGAUGUCAUCGCUCGUCAGUUUCCCACCGAGUGCUCCACAUGUUUCUAUGUCACGGGUAGUUUUAGUAUCAGUGAACUGGGGAAACUCUGUGUAGGGUGUAGAUCAAGGUACCAUACAUAGUGUGAUCCACUUCUGUCGCUCAGCACUCAAGGUCUCAGAGGCCUGUCCACUACUGCUGUCCUGUCCACCUUCUGGCUGUGUUAACAGUCUGAAGCCUGCCGAUAACACAUGAGCUGUGAGUACUCCUCAAAGGCCUUUUCUGAGUCAGGCCCUAGCAGCCUCCGGGUCUGGUCCCACCUUGCUAAACUCUUGCUCAAUUUUUAAUCACUCUUUUUUCAGUUCCUGGUUCUGGAUCAUCUCCUCAAAGGCAUGGAACUGUUUCUGUUCUAGCUGGUGCAGCUUUUGCUCUCUUUCCCCAGUGCUUGCUGGAUGGCCAUGUGCUGUCCAUGUGCUGGGGGCAUUCUGACCCUCCCACCUUCUCUGUAUAGUUUUCAUUUACUUUGGUGUAUGUCUCCAAACCCACUUUAGCCCCUCUGCCUAGGAAAAGCAAGUCCGGUAAUUCCCUGACUGUCAGGAACAGCAUCUCCUUUUGAUCCUGGUAUCCAGGGCCUUGGUGCAUGAAGGACUUGAUGCACUUGCUGUAGAGGAUAAGGGAAUGUUCAAUGUUGCUUGCUCCAAAGUAAACGGAUGCUCCAGAGUGGGUGUGCUGGCAGGGUGGCGUAUUGGAUCUCACUGCAUUCUCAAGCUGGGGAAGCAUCUUCACCCUGUCUCUGAGUGGAAGGGCGAUGGUCCCAUGGUCAGGCAUCAGGACCAAAAGCCUCUGAUUCAGAUUUCUGCCUUCAGAAUACAGCUGCAUUGGAAGACUCUGUUGUUCUGAGCGCCAUCUUGUUUGAAGACGGGUAUCUCCUGACACAGAGAAGAGGUAAUAAUGUCAGUCACAGCUACAAGGGAUUAAGGAUUCAGUAAUAUGGUUUGUCAGGGUUGCUGAAGCUAAAUACCAUGUGUCUCCAAUAUGGAGACUAGUCACUAGUCACUGGUCACUUGGGAUUAUCCGAUUUAUUUGUGGACAAUUUCACAGAAGUUUCCAAGUUCUAAUGGGUGUUGAUAGGUUUAGAGGGCAGAUGAUUUUAUAAAGCCAGCAGUAGCCAGUAGGAAUGUCUGAUAUCUAGCCAGAAGAUGGGAUUGGGUGGAGAGAAUGGCAGGAGAACUCAGCUGACUGGCUGAGUCUAGGCAGGUGAAAGCCUGCUAGGCAGGUACGACAAUCCUUUCCUCGGGCUCCAUGCUUAGGCAGAUCAGCUCAGUGUUUCUUAUAAGUGUUCAUUAACAGAGUUACCUAUAAUUUGCAGGUGAUAUUUUCAUGUGGGUCCCCAAAUAGGGAAGACCAUAGUCUUAAGGAGCAAGACAGCCAUGGGAACCCAGUGCCAAGUGUGGGCUGAGUGCUAAGGUAGGAGGUCCUUCAGGGGACUGUGAUGCCUUAAGAAGCGAUAGGAAAGAAGGUACUUGAACUGAGUCUUGGAAGAUGAUAGGUAUUUUCCAGUGCACAAGGCUAGGAGGGGCAUCCCAGGUAGGCCAGAGCACAGCUUUACAUAUGCUUGACUAUUUAAAGAGAUAGGAAGUUUAUCCUGCCCAAAGUUCUUCCCUCUCCUCUCUCCUUUGAAGCGGACUCUAUUUUCAGUAUGAAGGACUUUUAACCUUUGAAGUCUAAAACUUGAGAAGGAGUCUACAGGCUUCCUUCCACUUUCUGAUUGGAUUUGAGGCCCAUUCCACAGAAGGAAAUCCACAUUUUAUACUACAAACCUGGUCAGAAACUCACGGCUAAGGAGAUCGUGAGUGGGGGAAGUUACUUCUGAUGUUUGAAUGUGAUGUGCCCACCAAAUACUUUCCAUGUGUUGUGUGUGGCCUUGCCCAUGGCCACAUUCUGCUGUUUGCUCUGGGCAGCACCUAGUGAAGAGGUCACGACUGGGAAAUGAGUUGGGGUGCUCAGUCCUAGGGGACAUCUCUCUUACCCCAUCCAAGGCUCAGGGACAUCAUGGACGAGGGAGUGGAGGAAUGUAUGGGUAGAGGAAGGGUUAGAGUGAUUGGGACACUGUCAUCUUCUGGGCAUUAUAUAACAGUUACCCUCUCUGACUUCCAGAAGCUCUGAUUACCUACACAAAACCGGUGUAAGAUUUGGCUCACCAACAUUCUACCACAGAGCAGGGAACGUCUUGUGAGGAUUUAUAGGAAGUUAAAGGUUGCUAGGGGAGAGAGUCUCAAAAGCACACUCUUUCCCUGAGGAUCUGUGGGCAAUUAGGGGGUUUUGGGAGAGUUAGAAAUACUUGGUUUAGUGGUGUAGCUACUCGUGAGUGUCCUGUGCCUUCAGUUGAUUCGCCAAGGGCAAAAGUGAAGAGGACCAGCAGCAGUGAGGGGCCAAGGGGGGGCCAUGGGUAUGAAUGGGGUCAAAGUGUAUCGCAUGAAUGGAAUAGCAAAGUGAAACCCACUGGUUUGUUAUUAGCAUAUUAAUAAUACGUUAAUAAAAUGAAAUUAAACAACCAAGCAAGCAACUUGGCACAUUAAGAGAGUACCCGUAGGGCUUAGUCCUCACAACAUUGGAGGAGUCUAUUAAACUGGGAUAUGUUACUAGGGAUGUAGCUCAGUGAGAGAGUGCCUAUCUAGCUUAGCGUGUACAAACCUCUGAGGAUAGCCUCAGAACUGUAAACAACUGCUUUGUAAGUGGCAGAUCUGGUAACAUGGUCCAUGUAGACUGUGGAGUGUACAGCAGAGUCCUUGGAAGAACAUGAACGUUGUCUGCCACACUCUGGAUAUGUCACUCUUUUGAUGGCGCUCUUUAUUUGCAUUUACAUAUGUGUAUAUGUAUGCAUUCACACGGAUAAAUAAAUGUAUGUGUAGUAUACAUAUAGUCUGCCUCCAAGACUAUUUAUGUGUGCAUAUAUCCACAUGUGGUUAAGGUGUGUAAAAUUAUAGGCAUUUCUUAUAAUUUUCUCUUAUUUUUCAAAAGUAUGUUUUAUUUUUACCUAAAAAAAUUUAUGAGGGCUGGAGAGAUGGCUCAGCGGUUUUGAGCACUGACUGCUUUUCCAGAGGUCCUGAGUUCAAUUCUCAACAACCUCAUGGUGGCUCACAAGCAUCUGUAAUGGGAUCUGAUGCCCUCUUCUGGUGUGUCUGAAGACAGCUACAGUGUACUCACAUACAUAAAAUAAAUCUUAAAAAAAUUAUGAGCAUUUUGCCUGCGAGAAUGUCUCUGUACCACAUGUGUGCAGUGCCUGCAGGAGCCAGAAGAGGGCGAUGGAGACCAAGGUUUUGAAUGGUUGUGAGCCACCAUAUGAGCUCCAAUUGACUUCAGUCCUUCCUACAAGAGCAGAUGGUGCUGUUAAACACCAUGCUAUCAUCUCUGUAGCAACUUGGUAUUUUCCAAAAUAAAAACAAGAAUUAUAUCACAUGUCUGAAAGCCAAAGGGA
ensembl:lncRNA LOC102554670 uncharacterized LOC102554670